UGACAUUUGAGUAAAAGCUGCUUCAUAUUUCAAGGACAAUUGAAAGAGCAAGUGCACAGACAUACGAACACACACAAAAGCACACUGACACAGAGAGACACACACAAACAAACAAACACAAAAGACAGACAGUGAGAGACAGACAGGCAUUAAAACAAGGGCACAGCAAAGAGGACACAAACAGCUUUAUCAUCCACACCCCUAUCCAUCACCUCCUUCAUCAUUCACACACACACACACACACACACACACACACACACACACACACACACACACACACACACACACACACACACACACACACACACACACACACACACACACACACACACACCAUAUUCAUGAUCCUCUGCUAACUAAUGUCAGCAGCUAUUAUCCUAUUCUGCUGCGCCUGUUGUCUCCACAGUGAGUCUUAAUCGGCUCAUGAGCCACUUCCAGUCUAAACAUCAGAAAGGAAAGUCCAAAUGGCCAACAAGUGAAAGUCUUUAAAAUGAUCAAAUGUACAGUCUAAAGUGCAUGACAAAGAUCGCACGAAGUGGGUGGAUUGAGCCGACUUUCUUUUGUUCAGUCACCACGCAUGAAGAUAUUUCACUGUGUUAUUGUAAACUGUCUGGUCUCUAUCAAAAUCUGGAUGCAUGAUGGUUGGUGACAUUUACAGUUAGCAGUUAUGUUUGGAUGUUGUUCAGAAGAGGAAAACCUACAUUCUGAGCAUAAAUGUAGCAUUGGUGACAUCACCCAUUUGUUUCUGAAGCUGAGUUAGUAGCAGUCCCCACAGUAGUCAUGCUGAAAUAUUGUAGAAAGUUGUUAAUACUGCUUUGUUUCUCAUGAUAUAAUCACUAUUUUACUUUAGCUGCUUGUAGAGCCAACGGCUUAAAAUAUAGCAUAAAAAAGACCCUUUAAAAUGUGAUUUUCUACUCUGUGAUUGUCCCUCUAUCUCCUCUUUUGGUCCACAACUGCUAAAAUUAAUCCACUGGCUGUCAAAUGUGGUAAUACACUAUGAAGAACAAAAUAAUGUUAUCCAUUGUACCUGAGGUCUUACAGAGCUCAGAAACAAAUAAUACAGAUAUCAAGUUGGUACAGGAGGAAAAAAAAUAAACAAAACAAAACAGGAAUUAUAAUAAAACACAAGGUAACUUUAGUUGGCAAUGGUUUUGGAAGAAAUAAAGAAUGAAAGUAAAGUUGUUAUUUGUCAGAUAAUCUUGAAGAUACAGCCGCUGCUGCUGCCAUGCCUGUUUCCUACUCUGUGGUUCCAUAUUCAUAUAACAUUACAAAUAUUUCCUGUGAUUCUGGGCUGUAAGCAGUAAAUUACUGUAAUAAAAACCGUUUCACCAUCAGAGUUGGUGGAAAAGUGUGAUCCCUAGAAUGCAUUUUUUUAUUACAGUAAUAUAGCGUCAAAUCAUAGUACAAUACCUCGCUAAAUUCUGAUGUACAUUUACAUGACAGUCCGACAGUGCCAUAAUCAUUCAGCCUCUAUUAGGAAACACUGCUGAGAGCACAGGUGUUUGUCUUUGUGAAAACAGCACAGGAUUGAAGCUCUUUAGCCAUCUUACUGUUUUGCCAAUGAGAUCUCUAAGAGGACGCCCUGCACCAUGGGCUCCAGAUUUAUUACCAGGUUCUUGUUGUUCUCAUGGUUUCCACAUCUCUAACACACCCCUGGGUACAAAUUCAACUGUUAUUUACACAACAUUGGCCCUAGGCAUAAAAAUGACUUGUGCUUCAGGUGGAAAAAAAAUAAUGAUACUUGCGCUGAGUGUACCCGAAUGUAAGACUCUAAGUGGUGGAGAAAAGGUGGGAAGAUGUAGAAAAUAAAGCACCAAAAGAAAGAGCCAGGAAAAAACAUGGCGAGGAGGGAUCGUUAAGGCCAGGAAGAAAAGUGCUUUGGGAAAUAUUUUCCCGCUUUUUCCUGGCCAAUUACACCACAGGAGAGACGUGAAAAAGAGAUAGAAUAAAAAUAAACAACAAUACUGCGCACAAGCUGUGAAGAUAAGUAGAGGUAGCGAGGGAAGGGCUGUUUUCAGCGUUUCCAUCCUGUGUUUCUACUAUUACUGUCUCUAAGGAUCCGGAAAGAUGGGUUAGAAAAGGACAAGGAAAAGGUAGGGUAAGAAAAAAGUGCUGAGGAAAGACACUUGGAAGGAGGAAAGAAGGGUGGAUGAAAGCUGGAGAGGUAGAGGGGGAGAGGAAGGAUGCUGCCAAAAGAGUUUCUGUUAGACACACUGGGAAGAGAAGGCUUACGGCAGGCAAAGAAACAAAUAACUUCCUGCACACUCCCAAACCUAUCUGCUUCAUAGUGCAGAGGAGUGCAGAGGUAAAUCAGGAGGCCACACACACACAUACACAGUUGCACACAUGCACGCACACAUACACACACAUUAAGGUUUGCAUGUAAAUGUUGGAGGAUAAAAAAGAGAAAGGACACGUACAGUAGCAGAUCUGGAAAUUCAAAUCUCAGCCCUUUACGUCAGCCCCACUCUUAUCAGCCUGAGACAAAUAGAGAAAAAACAUUUAUCUGCAGCAGUCAUAUUAGAAACGCUCCACUGUUUCCAUUCUCUAACAAUAUGAAUGUUUGAUAUGAAUCAUCAGCCAGAAAAUAGCAUUCAUGAUGAGCGAAACAGGCAAAUAUGAAGGAGCAUUCUCCUUCUCUUUCCCUUUUCUGUAAGGGAGGUCAGGGGUUUACUUACCUGCUCAAAGGCACUUAGACAGUUGGUCAGUUACAAGACCAAAGCAUAAUCGCUGUUUGUCUCUUUAUCAAGCAAUGAUCUCAGGUCACCCCCGUUUUUGUACUUUGUUUGAUCCCAGAUAGUUUCCAGUUUGGAAAUAAAAAAGGAUUUAAAACGACUGAUAAAAUAACGUUAGUGAUCAUUUGAUGUUUUUUUUUUUUUUAAUAGUUCUUAAUUUCGUUUCAAUAAUCAUGAUUUUUCAAAAUAGGCACUUUAACAUGUUACAAGCAUAGGCUGUAUAUAAAAUGGACACCGUCUGCCUCCUCGCUGGGUGAAGCCACUCUGAGAACAGCACCCUCUGAUGACAGGCUGCAGUAUAGGUCAUAAAUCCCGCCUCCUCAAGCAAUCCCUAUGGCGCUGUGGACAAACUUUAGAAAUUUAUUACACAGAAUAUAAAAUUUUCUCCCCCUUGGUAGGGAACUACAAAAAAAUAAAUUAAUAAACAGUAAUAUUUUACUCUGUACAAAUCUCAGUAACAUGUGCGACAACGCAUUUUUACUCGAAAUUAAGUGUUGUGUUGUUUUUAUAUAGAUUAGCCGACACAGCGAGAAAAAUCCAUGCGAAUGUUUAGAUCCUAUUAGUGCUGGAAAACUACAGAGGAGAAGAUGACUGCAGCAGCAGACAAGUUGGACUCUAUAUCCAAGAGAUGGACAUACAUCAUUAUUAUUAGCUUAUGAGAGACAAGAAUGUAAAGACCAUCAAAGUUAAGGGCAGUUUCUGUGCAAAUGUGACACACAGAAAAUAUGUUGUCACAUUUUUUACGUGUUAUUGUGUAGGUUGUAUGAUGUUCAAGAGACUAUUUACAUUAGAAGAUGAGUAGAAUAUGAGCCAUAAAGGCAAGUGAAUGUCUUGGUAAGAACUUCAGAGUUUAAUAUAACUUAAUCUUUUCACCCUACCAGUAGGGGGCAGUGCAGCACUGUGCUUCUCACCUGGGACACUCUUGCUAACGGACUCUUACGCUGCUUUAUCGUUCAACGGAGCGAAGCUGCAGUGAAGCACCGUCGCCUGUCUCAUUUUUUUUCCUGUUUUACACAGGAUCCUUAUCUGUUUGCAGGACUCUUUCUGGGGUCUGUAACAAAAAGAAACUAAAGAUCUCUCUACCUCACACAAUAGGGGCGAUUCAGCCUUUGCGUAAGUGUGUGUGUUUAUAUAUGUUUCUGUGUGCACAGCGGUGUAGUAUCUGUAAUUUGCAGGUAUAUGCCGUAUACCCACUAGAAAAUGUGCAAAGUCACCUAACAACCAGAGUUCUGAGCACAACUAUUGUAGUAACUUAUUAAUCUCUAAAUUUAUAACAUCUUAAAUUAAGGACAUUUUGAAGGACCUGACAUCCUUUGCUUUUUAGUUUUAUAGCAGACACAUUUGAUCCAGCACCGUUUCUGAGAUCCUGGAAUGAAGCUGGACUUUAUUUGUAAAGUGUCAGGAUGGCUAUAAAUAAGGUCAGAAAAAAAAUAUUUUUAUCUAUUCUGCUGCGCUGGAUGAGUUGUGGUUCACCUGCUGUGCUGAGGAUAGGAAUGUGUAUAGCAGUUUGGUCUUAUCAUGCUCCUGGCAUAAAGUGUUUUGGUGUACAACAACAGUGUCGCUGUUAUUUUUCCACCUGAUGCACUCCUUAGUGUCAGGUCUUGAGUCCACGCUCUGUGUAAUGGCAGGUGAAUUAGCAUCCGUGGAUGUGGUGGUUGUGCGCAAAGAUGCGUUGCUACCUGGAGGAAGUAUAAAGUUUCUGACAGAAAACAGAGGAGAGACUGAUAGAGAGAGAUGAUUCAAAAGAAAAAGAUUAUUCAUAUAAAAAUUUUGGAAGUUGUGCUGUAUUUCAUAUCUCAUACCUUCCUAGUAAAGCUUUGAAAGUCUUUUAUUCUUUACAUUUUCUGCAUGUGAGACCUGCUCCUAAUGCAGGUAGACCGAAGGCUCUGAUUUGUUAACACACACACACACACACACACACACACACACACACACACACACACACACACACACACACACACACACACACACACACACACACACACACACAAAACAAAAAAAAACUUUUAGGGUUGCACACCUCUUUUCUUCAAGAUUAAGAGAGGCUGAAUCACAAGAUGGCAAACAUGAGGGGAGAAAAACAAAGUAUAACAACAUCAGAGGAGGAAUAAGGACAAAGAAGAGGGGGAAACAAAGAGAGGUGCUGCAGGAAAGGAGGACUGUUCCUGUGAUGUGUCAUCUCCACUCUCACAGUGAGCAGUCUGGCUGCAGGCCUACAGGCCAGCCUGUAUCACACUGAGAAUACAGGCCACCUC
rnacentral:lncRNA from 1 species